GCGACUGCAGAAAAUCGUGGCAAACAUUGCAGUAUGUAUCCAGCUUCAGUUAACGCUUCAGAAGCUGGUCUUUCCUAGGAAAGUGAAACCUACGCAAACACAAAUAUGCUUGGUGAGCUGGAUUUUCUUCUGUUCACUAUCCUCCGCUCCAAGCUGCCAUUGACAGAAGUUCACAGAACCCACAUACUGAUCCCAGAGGGGAGUUCACAUCACCAUGACUAGCGAACAGAAAUGCAUGGUUGAAAAAAUUGACGUGGAAGCCCUUAUCUCAAUGAAGUAUCAACUGAAGCAGAAGAAGCUCCUGGAGCCAAUUCUGAGCACCAACCUGGAUUAUGCAGUUGCAGUAAUAACAUCCAUGCCUAGCCCUAGUUUAGUAGGGGCCACACUCUGCAUCACAGGGGAAAGUAUGCUAGUUAAAUUCCUUGUGGACAAAGAUAGAUCAGGUUUAAAUAAUUCUCAGUUACCAGCUCAGCCAUACCAGAGCAAUAUCCAUUUAACUGUAGUCUCGGACAAUGGUCAGCCUAAACUGAUAGAGCAUGUGACCUGUGGUGAUGUUAUCACAGCUUCAGACAUACAGGGUUAUCACUUUUCUGGGCACAACUGCCAGGAUAUGGUUCAGCCAUGUUCUGAACAAGCCAGGUGUCUAAUGUCAAAUCGUCAGAAUGUAGCAAUGCUACACAUAAUUUGCAACCGCCUGUCUCUCACAUACUCAAUUGGUAAGCAUGCCAAGGAUGAUCAGAGUGUUAAUCAGUCGCCACAGACAACACAGCUCAAUGUCUGUAACAGUUACAGAAUAAAAACUGAAUGCAGGCUCAAGUUUUCAGGUUUCACCCCAAUAGGAAAGCUACUGAAAAUGAAAUGUUGGAUUGAACAGGAAAAGCCACAGAAAAAGGGUCUCAUUGCCUGUGUAGAUCACCUCUUGAAGCAAUUCACUGAACUUCCAAAUCCACCUUCCAAUUAUGCCUUCAUGCUACAGAGCGAUGGGGAAAUGGUUGAGUUGGUUAAUGCCUUUGCGAUACCAAGAUAUUUGCAUAUUUUUGGUGGCCCAAAUGGUGUGUCUAUGGUGCCUGACAAAUGGCAAUAAGAUUAAUUAGAUUUACCCAAAAUGUAAAAGUCUCAUUCUUUUUAUCAUCUGCUGACAGUAUGAACAACGUGCAUGUUAUUCACUGGUUUAACCCUUGUGUAGUCUUAACAUUCUGUAUACUCCCCUUGUCCUAAGGGUAAAAAAUUACCUGCCUUCACUAAACCCCUAAAAUAAAGCAGUUUUAUUGAAUUUUAAACCUGAAAUAUAUUUUGCAUGGAGAAACAACCUGUCACUCAUCACAAAUUUUGUCAUCAAAUUUUAAGUUGAAGAAAGAUAAUUUAGGGGGUUUAGUCUGCUGUUAAACAUAGUGGUGGUCAUUUUUGACAGCACAAGGGUUAAAGAAUUAAGUCAAGAAUUGAAGUUCUCUUCUCUUUAUAAUGAAAAGAACAGUUUGUAAUAUUUCUAAAAAAUUAUUAUGAAGAGCAGUGAACUAAAUUAAAUCAAUUUUUUGUGACUACCCUUCACCUUUAAAAAGGGUGGCCUGUAGCGUAGUGGUUAAGGUAAAUCACUGGGACCCACAAGGUCGGUGGUUCUAGUCCCAGUGUAAGAUCCGCACAGCCGUUGGGCCCUUGAGCAAGGCCCUUAACCCUGCAUUGCUCCAGAGGAGGAUUGUCUCCUGCUUAGUCUAAUCAACUGUUCGUCACUCUGGAUAAGAGCGUCUGCCAAAUGCCAUUAAUGUAAUGUAAUGUAAUGUAAUGUAAUGUAAACUGCACUUUUAUAAGAAGAUCAGCUGGUCGGUUGUCCCAAUCAUAUUGUUCUUCUGCGUCCAAUUGCUUAUGGCUCUCCAGGUAAUCCCAGACAGCCUCAAGCUGUUUUUUUUUUUAAUCUGAAAAGGGGUCUGUUACUUUACAUGUUACUUCACUUAAACAAAAUACAAAGAUUUCUCUGUCACGUAAAAUGUUUUUGGAAAAUUAAUCGCAAGAAUGAGUCAUAUAUAUGAACAUGAUGUCGUUAAAUUGCUCAUACAAGUUAAGUCUCAAAUUUGCUUUUUUUGGCUGUCACACAAAUGCAGAAAAUAAAUAAAUAAACAUGUUGGAUUAAUUAAA